rnacentral:rRNA from 1 species
AGUGAACGCUGGCGGUAGGCCUAACACAUGCAAGUCGAACGGCAGCACAGUAAGAGCUUGCUCUUACGGGUGGCGAGUGGCGGACGGGUGAGGAAUACAUCGGAAUCUACUUUUUCGUGGGGGAUAACAUAGGGAAACUUACGCUAAUACCGCAUACGACCUACGGGUGAAAGCAGGGGAUCUUCGGACCUUGCGCGAUUGAAUGAGCCGAUGUCGGAUUAGCUAGUUGGCAAGGUAAAGGCCCACCAAGGCGACGAUCCGUAGCUGGUCUGAGAGGAUGAUCAGCCACACUGGAACUGAGACACGGUCCAGACUCCUACGGGAGGCAGCAGUGGGGAAUAUUGGACAAUGGGCGCAAGCCUGAUCCAGCCAUACCGCGUGAGUGAAGAAGGCCUUCGGGUUGUAAAACCCUUUUGUUGGGGAAGAAAAGCAGCAGGUUAAUACCCCGCUGUUCUGACGGUACCCAAAGAAUAAGCACCGGCUAACUUCGUG